rnacentral:rRNA from 1 species
UCGUAACAAGGUCUCCGUUGGUGAACCAGCGGAGGGAUCAUUAAAGAGUUAACAAACUCCUAAACCCAUGUGAACUUACCUCUGUUGCCUCGGCAGGUCGCACCUCACCCCGCGAGGUCCUACCCUGUAGGGCCCCGCCCGGUGGGUGCGGAUAAGCCUGCCGGCGGCCCCUGAAACUCUGUUUACUUAUUGUAUUCUGAACUCAUAACUAAAUAAGUUAAAACUUUCAACAACGGAUCUCUUGGUUCUGGCAUCGAUGAAGAACGCAGCGAAAUGCGAUAAGUAAUGUGAAUUGCAGAAUUCAGUGAAUCAUCGAAUCUUUGAACGCACAUUGCGCCCAUUAGUAUUCUAGUGGGCAUGCCUGUUCGAGCGUCAUUUCAACCCUUAAGCCCCUGUUGCUUAGUGUUGGGAGCCUACAGUCUCUGUAGCUCCCCAAAGUUAGUGGCGGAGUCGGUUCAAGCUCUAGACGUAGUAAAUCUUUUAUCUCGCCUAUAGAUGCGCCGGUCCCCUGCCGUAAAACCCCCCA